rnacentral:rRNA from 1 species
AGCAGCCGCGGUAAUUCCAGCUCCAAUAGCGUAUAUUAAAGUUGUUGCAGUUAAAAAGCUCGUAGUUGAAUUUCGGGAUCAAGUCGUCGGUCGUGCUUAGGUACGUACUGGCGUCAUUGAUUUCUCCCUUCUGACGAACCAUGAUGUCAUUAAUUUGGUGUUAUGGGAAAUCAGGACUGUUACUUUGAAAAAUUAGAGUGUUUAAAGCAGGCUCACGCUUGAAUACAUUAGCAUGGAAUAAUGAAAUAGGACGUUCGAUCCUAUUUUGUUGGUUUCUAGGAUUGACGUAAUGAUUAAUAGGGAUAGUUGGGGGCAUUAGUAUUCAAUUGUCAGAGGUGAAAUUCUUGGAUUUAUUGAAGACUAACUACUGCGAAAGC